GGGUGCGAUCAUACCAGCACUAAUGCACGGGAUCCCAUCAGAACUCUGAAGUUGAGCGUGCUUGGCGAGAUUGGUACUAAAAACGAGCAUUGUUGCAGGAC
rnacentral:rRNA from 1 species